rnacentral:rRNA from 1 species
GAUGAACGCUGGCGGCGUGCCUAAUACAUGCAAGUCGAGCGAACAGACGAGGAGCUUGCUCCUCUGACGUUAGCGGCGGACGGGUGAGUAACACGUGGAUAACCUACCUAUAAGACUGGGAUAACUUCGGGAAACCGGAGCUAAUACCGGAUAAUAUAUUGAACCGCAUGGUUCAAUAGUGAAAGACGGUUUUGCUGUCACUUAUAGAUGGAUCCGCGCCGCAUUAGCUAGUUGGUAAGGUAACGGCUUACCAAGGCAACGAUGCAUAGCCGACCUGAGAGGGGGAGCGGCCACCCUGGAACUGCGACACGGGCCAGACUCCUACGGGAGGCAGCAGUAGGGAAUCGGCCGCAAUGGGCGAAAGCCUGACGGAGCAACGCCGCGUGAGUGAUGAAGGGCUUCGGAUCGUAAAACUCUGUUAUUAGGGAAGAACAUAUGUGUAAGUAACUGUGCACAUCUUGACGGUACCUAAUCAGAAAGCCACGGCUAACUACGUG